AUUGAACGCUGGCGGCAGGCCUAACACAUGCAAGUCGAGCGGAGCGGCGGACGGGUGAGUAAUGCAUAGGAAUCUGCCUGGUAGAGGGGGAUAACGUCCGGAAACGGGCGCUAAUAUCUUAUACUAUCAGAUGAGCUUAGGUCGGAUGAGCUAGUUGGUGGGGUAAAGGCCUACCAAGGCAACGAGCCGGAACUGGUUUGAGAGGAUGAUCAGUCACACGGGAACGUUGACACGGUCCAGACUCCUACGGGAUGCAGCAGUGGUGAAUUGUAGACAAUGGGCGAAUGCCUGAGCCAGCCAUGCCGGGUGUGUGAAGAAGUUAUUAGAAUUGUAAAGCACUUUAAGUUGGGAGGCGUUACCAACAGAAUAAGCACCGGCUAACUUCGUGCCAGCAGCCGCGGUAAUAC
rnacentral:rRNA from 1 species